CCCUCCCUUUCUCAUAGCCCUGAUUUGAUUCCCAUAUUGUUUUUCAAUUUUUCAUCUUCCCUCCCUUUCCCAUAGCCCUGAUUUGAUUCCCAUAUUGUUUUUCAAUUUUUCAUCUUUCCUCCCUUUCCCAUCCCUGAUUUGAUUCCCAUCCAAAUAGAUACCUUUACAGCAGUUGAGGAGAAAAGCAGUAGCCGCCACUAAGGGCCGACCACCAUCGCUGCACCCCAAUGACCGUCGACCGCCCUUCCUUUCCUCUAAUCUAUUGGCAUCGCUGUUUGCAGAAUGGGAGAUGAAUGAGCCCGGGGCUAAGCGCCCUAAAUUCAGCAUGUUGGUUCAGUCGAGACUCUUGUCAUUUCCUUUAUACGACCCACAAUUUCAGAAUAACAUGAACCUUGUUUGGUCAUUGGUGUAUGCGAUUUUGGGGUCGAAUCAACUAGAAGAAGUUAGAUACUUUGCAAGAUUCAGUCAUGCGCUCCACAUGUUUGAUGAAACGUCUCAAUGAAACUUUUUUGUAUAAAUUUCAUUAUCAUUUCCCUUUGCUGAUAAUGUGAGGGCUACUUUAAUUUGAGGAAAUGUUUGAAGGUUUAGUAAGGCAGCUAAUUUUAGGUUAUCUUGGGCAAUAUAUUAAUGAUAUACACAGGGAGCAUCUCAAGAUUACACUCUAGAAUGGCUCUGGUGUAACUACAGAUGAAGAGACGAGUUCUGCAGCCAAAAUUAUGGUUAUUUCGGUUAUACCGUUUGCGUUCUUCCUAAUUAUCGAAAUAUCUUUUGGCGUGUCUUAGGGCUACAUCUUCAUGAUUCCUCUGUUUGUCUCAUUUAUGUUCUUGAUGGUAUACUUUAUAUGAUGUGUGAGCCUUCGGUCCAAAAAAGGCGACUAUCAUACGUGAAACACGAGCGUUUAGUUGUGAACAUACUAAAACAUCUGCAAGAGCACACUGCAGAACAAGUACUCACUAAAGAUGGUUCAGUAAACCUACCUGUUAUAGAACGGUUAGAUUCGCGUUCAUUUUCAUAUUUAUCCUCCAUUUAUACUUUCCUUUGCUUUUUAUUUAUUUGUAUUCUUUUAUUGUUUCGCAAGCUAUUUACAAUGAUCGAUCAAGAUGGCGAUAGCUACAUAUCUUUUCCCGAACUAAAAGCAAUUCUUCAAGAUAUCAAGUUCAGUCGAUUAACUUGGAACAAGGAGAAAACACUUGAAGAAAUAAUGAAAGAAUUCGAUAAAGAUGACUAUCGUAGAGUAACUAAGGAUGAAUUUGUAGAAAUAUUAAAGAAAAUGGCUCGACGAGACCAAAAAUGCAGUGGACAAACGACCAUAUCAAUCGGUUAGAUCGUGGAGGGACUUAUAUCAGAUUAUCCACCCAUGGUAUGAUUGGUAUCAGACCAAAAAGAAAGAAGAAACGGCGAUGAAGAUCCUUAUAACCGACACGUCCAAAGCUUACAACUAGAAAAUUUUUACAACGAAGAUGGAACACCAAAUAUAUCUGCAAUAAAAAGGUCCAUGGUAUUGGUUCUACGGUCCGGUCCCUAACAACCCUUUAUCAGUUGACCAUAUAUCAUUUGAAAGAAGCUAAUGGUAUCUACUAGUAUCAUUGCUUUGAAAGAGUUAAUAUGAAGAUCAUUUUAUUUGCAUGAAGAUUGUGAAAGAGGUUCAUGAUUGCGAAGCUUCAAGUUUUUUAUUCAAACAUGUGUUAGUUUGUAUUCUAUAUGUUUGCUAUUUAGACUUUAAUUGACACUUAUGUGAUGUUUUAAUAUGUUUGGAACAUGAUCUAACUUUUAAUUGAAGUAAUGAUAUUACAAUUUAUGCA